rnacentral:rRNA from 1 species
GACGAACGCUGGCGGCGUGCUUAACACAUGCAAGUCGAACGGAGUGGCGAACGGGUGAGUAACACGUGGGUGAUCUGCCUUGCACUUCGGGAUAGGCUUGGGAAACUGGGUCUAAUACCUGAUAUGGCAAGAUGAGCUCGCGGCCUAUCAGCUUGUUGGUGGUGUAAUGGCCUACCAAGUCGUCGACGGGUAGCCGGCCUGAGAGGGUGUCCGGCCACAUUGGGAGUGAGAUACGGCCCAGACGCCUACGGGGGGAAGCAGUGGUGAAUAUUGCACAAUGGGCGGAAGCAUGAUGCAGCGACGCCGCGUGGGUGAUGAAGGCCUUCGGGUUGUAAACUCCUUUCGACAGGGACGCGGUACCUGUAUAAGAAGCACCGGCUAACUACGUGCCAGCAGCCGCGGUAAUUC